UACGGGGGGAGCAAGCGUUGUUCGGAUUUACUGGGCGUAAAGAGCGCGCAGGCGGUCAGAUAAGUCGAAUGUGAAAGCCCCCGGCUCAACUGGGGAGGGUCAUUCGAUACUGUUCGACUCGAAGGCAGGAGAGGGAAGCGGAAUUCCCGGUGUAGUGGUGAAAUGCGUAGAUAUCAGGAGGAACACCGAUGGCGAAGGCAGGUCUCUGGGCCACUACUGACGCUGAGAAGCGAAAGCAUGGGGAGCGAACAGG
rnacentral:rRNA from 1 species